rnacentral:rRNA from 1 species
GAUGAACGCUGGCGGCGUGCCUAAUACAUGCAAGUCGAGCGAACGGACGAGAAGCUUGCUUCUCUGAUGUUAGCGGCGGACGGGUGAGUAACACGUGGAUAACCUACCUAUAAGACUGGGAUAACUUCGGGAAACCGGAGCUAAUACCGGAUAAUAUUUUGAACCGCAUGGUUCAAAAGUGAAAGACGGUCUUGCUGUCACUUAUAGAUGGAUCCGCGCUGCAUUAGCUAGUUGGUAAGGUAACGGCUUACCAAGGCAACGAUGCAUAGCCGACCUGAGAGGGUGAUCGGCCCCACGGGAACGGAGACGCGGUCCGGACUCCUACGGGAGGCAGCGGUAGGGAAUCUUCCGGAAGGGGCGAAAGCCUGGGGGAGCAACGGGGGGGGAGUGAUGAAGGUCUUCGGUUGGUAAACCCUUGUUAUGGGGGAAGAACAAAUGUGUAGGUAACGGGGCAACUCUGGGAGGUACCUAAGAAGAAAGCCACGGUUAAUUAGGG